rnacentral:rRNA from 1 species
GACGAACGCUGGCGGCGUGCUUAACACAUGCAAGUCGAACGGAAAGGCCCUGCUUGCAGGGUACUCGAGUGGCGAACGGGUGAGUAACACGUGGGUGAUCUGCCCUGCACUUCGGGGUAAGCCUGGGAAACUGGGUCUAAUACCGGAUAGGGGCCAUUUUGAGUGAGGGGGUGGGAUAGAAUUUUCGGUGUGGGAUGAGCUCGCGGCCUAUUAGCUUGUUGGUGGGGUAAGGGCCUACCAAGGCGGCGACGGGUGGCCGGCCGGGGAGGGUGGACGGCCAAAUUGGGACUGGGAUACGGCCCAGACUCCUACGGGAGGCAGCAGUGGGGAAUAUUGCACAAUGGGCGCAAGCCUGAUGCAGCGACGCCGCGUGGGGGAUGACCGCCUUCGGGUUGUAAACUCCUUUCGCUAGGGACGAAGCUGUUUGUGACGGUACCUAGAUAAGAAGCACCGGCUAACUACGUG